CCUACGGGAGGCUGCAGUAGGGAAUCUUCCGCAAUGGGCGAAAGCCUGACGGAGCAACGCCGCGUGAGUGAUGAAGGUCUUCGGAUUGUAAAACUCUGUCUUCCGGGACGAACUGAUAGGUGAGGAAAUGCUCCUAUCCUGACGGUACCGGAGGAGGAAGCCCCGGCUAACUACGUGCCAGCAGCCGCGGUAAUACGUAGGGGGCAAGCGUUGUCCGGAUUCACUGGGCGUAAAGCGCGCGCAGACGGCUUUCUACGUCCGGGGUGAAAACCCGGGGCUCAACCCCGGGACUGCCUUGGAUACGGGAGAGCUUGAGGGUCGGAGAGGCAAGGGGAAUUCCACGUGUAGCGGUGAAAUGCGUAGAGAUGUGGAGGAACACCUGUGGCGAAGGCGCCUUGCUGGCCGAUUCCUGACGUUGAGGCGCGAAAGCGUGGGGAGCAAACAGGAUUAGAUACCCUUGUAGU
rnacentral:rRNA from 1 species